rnacentral:rRNA from 1 species
AUUGAACGCUGGUGGCAGGCCUAACACAUGCAAGUCGAGCGGAUGGACCGUGCUUGCUUCUGGAUUCCGCGGCGGGCGCGGGAGUAAUGCCUAGGAAUCUGCCUCCCAGUGGUGGGUGACGUCCGGAAACGGGUGCUAAUACUGCAGACGACCUGCGCGAGCAAGUUGGGGAUCUUCGGACCUCACGCGCUCAGAUGAGUCUAGGUCGGAUUAGCUAGUUGGUGGGGUAAGGGCCUACCAAGGCGACGAUCCGUAACUGGUCUGAGAGGAUGAUCAGUCACACUGGAGCUGGAACACGGUCCAGACUCCUACGAGAGGCAGCAGUGGGGAAUAUUGGACAAUGGGCGAAAGCCUGAUCCAGCCAGGCCGCGUGUGUGAAGAAGGUCUUCGGAUUGUAAAGCACUUUAUGUUGGGAGAAAGGGCAGUAAGCUAAUACCUAGCUGUUUUGACGUUACCGGCAGAAUAAGCACCGGCUAACUUCGUG